rnacentral:rRNA from 1 species
GUUACGUUAAGACUCACGGCUAUUAACCGUAGGCUUUUCUUCUCUACUGAAAGUGCUUUACAACCCGCAGGCCUUCUUCACACACGCGGCAUUGCUGGAUCAGGCUUGCGCCCAUUGUCCAAUAUUCCCC